CAGGCCGUCUGCGACAGCUCUCCUCACCCAUCCCUUCUUCAGACAGGUGAAGAAACACACGAGGGACUCUUUCCUCAGUUUGAUGUAUCCAGCCGUGCCAGUGUCCUGUCCUCCAGACACGCCUCCAUCUGAAACCCCCACCCAGACCUGCAACACCCCGUCACCCACCCACCCCGAGCCCGAGGACGGCAUGUGGGAUUUCUCCUAAACCUCGCCGUCUGUUUCUGUCUCCAUCUCCAGCCAAUCACAUCGUGAACUAACUGCAAAUCACUGGAUUUGAUCCAACUCCCAACGAGUGAGGUCAUCAAACUGAGCCAUGAAUGCAGGAGCCAGAUGUCGUGUGUGUGUGUGAGUGUGAGAGUGUGAGAGUGUGAGAGUGUGAGAGUGUGAGAGUGUG